AGAGUUUGAUCCUGGCUCAGAAUCAACGCUGGCGGCGUGCCUAACACAUGCAAGUCGCGCGCGAAAGGGGGGCAACCCCCGAGUAGAGCGGCGCACGGGUGAGUAACGCGUGGGUGAUCUGCCUCCGAGUGGGGAAUAACAGCGGGAAACUGCUGCUAAUACCGCAUGACAUCCUCGAGUCGCAUCGGGGAUCAAAGCCGGGGACCGCAAGGCCUGGCGCUUGGAGAUGAGCCCGCGUCCGAUUAGCUAGUUGGCGGGGUAAUGGCCCACCAAGGCGACGAUCGGUAGCCGGCCUGAGAGGGCGGACGGCCACACUGGGGCUGAGACACGGCCCAGACUCCUACGGGAGGCAGCAGUGGGGAAUUUUUCGCAAUGGGGGAAACCCUGACGAAGCAACGCCGCGUGGAGGAUGAAGGCCUUCGGGUCGUAAACUCCUGUCGACUGGGAAGAAUGCACCUGACCUAAUACGUCAAAGUGUUGACUGUACCGGUGGAGGAAGCCACGGCUAACUCUGUGCCAGCAGCCGCGGUAAUACAGAGGUGGCAAGCGUUGUUCGGAAUUACUGGGCGUAAAGGGCGCGUAGGCGGCCCGCCAAGUCCCGUGUGAAAUCCCCCGGCUCAACCGGGGAACGGCGCGGGAAACUAGCAGGCUUGAGUUCGGGAGAGGGAAGCGGAAUUCCGGGUGUAGCGGUGAAAUGCGCAGAUAUCCGGAGGAACACCGGUGGCGAAGGCGGCUUCCUGGACCGACACUGACGCUGAGGCGCGAAAGCUAGGGGAGCAAACGGGAUUAGAUACCCCGGG
rnacentral:rRNA from 1 species